GCGUGUUGUUGAUGAGUUGUUGUUGUUGUUUGCUCUGGUCACGUGAUCUCGCUCCUCCAGUAGAGGGCUUGUGAGCUGCGCAUGCGCACUGCUCAGUGCUGUCAGUCACCUCACCGCGUCUGGCGGAUCUCUCGGGCUCUCAGUGCGGAGCCAUCAGAAAACCCCCACAAACCCUGAUCUGUUCUGAAACUUGAUCGUAGGCUGCUUUUGUUAUUGUGGUCCUGUAGGUGAUCCGGGGCAGAUGAAGCCUGUGUUUGAGCGGCACGCGUUUGGGCUGAACCCCUGACUGCGGACAGCAGCCGGUCAGUUCUGAUUUAUCAAUGCAUCUCUGAUGCUUGUUUUUAUUCUGAUGCUGUU
rnacentral:lncRNA from 1 species